UCAAAUUCGUUGAAGAGAAAGAGUAAGUUAGUUUAAUAUCUCACAGAGAGUCGACGUUUGCUGAGAGUCGAUGGUCACGGAUUAACUGAAAAUCAUCUCUGAGAAGUAAGGCUGAACCAAGAGUAAGUCUUAUCGGGUGUCUUUUCCCGUUAUCAAAAAAAGCCGUUAAAACCUUGAAAUAGGUGAGACGUAUAGAGUGCUAUGAGCUUUUUUAGCUUAUAGAAUUUGGGUGGUACCACGGAGAAUUUUUCGUCCCAUGA
rnacentral:ncRNA from 1 species